UUUAUUCAUUCAUUCAACUUCAAACAUCAAGGGGAUCGUUUCUUUAAUUGGGUUCUCAAACUAGAAGUUCCUCCGAUUGGGUUUCUGAAGUUUUAAUCAUUUCGGAAUUGAGUCUUCCUUCCAUGUCCGUGAAAGCUUUUUCUAUCUAAACCGUAUAUUUUAUGCAAUAAAAUUCGACCUCUUUGAGAGAUUUUGGCAUAUCCUAUUGCAAAUUUCUGAUAAUUUCGGGAGAAACCCAGUUACGGAAUCCUUGAUCUGUUGGGAACCAAAUUAAUAAAUUAUUUUGUUCAUGGACACCAUUGUAAAUAAAUAAAUCUGAAUAUGGUGGCAAAUGCUAAUUGCACAAAGCUUGUGCAUCAGAGUAAGCAUCAAUAAUCUACCAUCAAACUAGGUAUGAAGAUUAGUUAGAAGAGUAAGGCAGAUGACAGAAGGCACAGCUUUUGGUACGGUGCAAUUGCUGGUUGAUUUCCGUGCUACUUAAAGCAUAAAUUUUUGAAGAUUAGUUAAGCUUCUACAUAUAACAUCAUUAUCAUAUUUGAAUAGCUGAAAUAAUAUUUCAUUCAAAUUAAGAAUUACUUUUGAUCAUA